ensembl:lncRNA
GGGUCGCAGGCUGGGGCAACGCACAGGCUGGAGGUGAGCAGCCCCUUCAGGAGGUGCAGACAUCAGUGGUUGCCUGUGGCAACGCAUCCUCCUCUGCUGAUGACAUCUGCACCAACACUCUUCAGUUACAGCAGGGUGAUAUGGGAGGUCCCCUCAUGUGUAAGCAGGGCGUGUCGUGGUUCCAGGUUUCAGUGAUCGCUGUAAACUCCUCCUCCUCCCCGUCCAACUCCACCUCCAACUCCACCUCCAGAGCCGCCAGCCAAUCAGAUCGCUCCUCAGUGCAGGUCUUCAGUCGGACGUCUCGGUUCAGCACCUUCCUGUCAAACUUCUCCUUCCCUGCGACCUUCACC